rnacentral:rRNA from 1 species
AUUGAACGCUGGCGGCAGGCUUAACACAUGCAAGUCGAGCGGGGUGAUGGUGCUUGCACUAUCACUUAGCGGCGGACGGGUGAGUAAUGCUUAGGAAUCUGCCUAUUAGUGGGGGACAACAUCUCGAAAGGGAUGCUAAUACCGCAUACGUCCUACGGGAGAAAGCAGGGGAUCACCUGUGACCUUGCGCUAAUAGAUGAGCCUAAGUCGGACUAGCUAGUUGGUGGGGUAAAGGCCUACCAAGGCGACGAUCUGUAGCGGGUCUGAGAGGAUGAUCCGCCACACUGGGACUGAGACACGGGCCAGACUCCUACGGGAGGCAGCAGUGGGGAAUAUUGGACAAUGGGGGGAACCCUGAACCAGCCAUGCCGCGUGUGUGAAGAAGGCCUUAUGGUUGUAAAGCACUUUAAGCGAGGAGGAGGCUCUUUUGGUUAAUACCCAAGAUGAGUGGACGUUACUCGCAGAAUAAGCACCGGCUAACUCUGUGCCAGCCGCCGCUGUAAUAC